CCUACGGGGGGCAGCAGUAGGGAAUCUUCCACAAUGGGCGAAAGCCUGAUGGAGCAACGCCGCGUGGGUGAAGAAGGUCUUCGGAUCGUAAAACCCUGUUGUUAGAGAAGAAAGUGCGUGAGAGUAACUGUUCACGUUUCGACGGUAUCUAACCAGACAGCCCCGGCUAACUACGUGCCAGCAGCCGCGGUAAUACGUAGGUGGCAAGCGUUAUCCGGAUUUUUUGGGCGUAAAGGGAACGCAGUCGGUCUUUUAAGUCUGAUGUGAAAGCCUUCGGCUUAACCGGAGUAGUGCAUUGGAAACUGGGAGACUUGAGUGCAGAAGAGGAGAGUGGAACUCCAUGUGUAGCGGUGAAAUGCGUAGAUAUAUGGAAGAACACCAGUGGCGAAAGCGGCUCUCUGGUCUGUAACUGACGCUGAGGUUCGAAAGCGUGGGUAGCAAACAGGAUUAGAUACCCCAGUAGUC
rnacentral:rRNA from 1 species